rnacentral:rRNA from 1 species
AUUGAACGCUGGCGGCAUGCCUUACACAUGCAAGUCGAACGGUAACGGGCCUUCGGGUGUCGACGAGUGGCGCACGGGGGAGUAAUACAUCGGAACGUGCCCGAUCGUGGGGGAUAACGAGGCGAAAGCUUUGCUAAUACCGCAUACGAUCUACGGAUGAAAACAGGGGACCGCAAGGCCUUGCGCGCACUGAGCGGCCGAUGGCAGAUUAGGUAGUUGGUGGGAUAAAAGCUUACCAAGCCGACGAUCUGUAGCUGGUCUGAGAGGAUGAUCAGCCACACUGGGACUGAGACACGGCCCAGACUCCUACGGGAGGCAGCAGUGGGGAAUUUUGGACAAUGGGCGCAAGCCUGAUCCAGCCAUGCCGCGUGCAGGAUGAAGGCCUUCGGGUUGUAAACUGCUUUUGUACGGAACGAAAAGCCUUAUGUUAAUACAGGAGGGUCAUGACGGUACCGUAAGAAUAAGCACCGGCUAACUACGUG